UUAAAGCCAAAUAUCCAACAUCUAGCACAGUAGGACGCGAUAUGAUUUUUUCGAGGAUGAAUUAUCAUACCAACAAAAUGCAUACAGUUAGACAAACAACACAGAUACUUGAUACUCUUCUCCUAUACAAAAUUAGCAACAUUCAGAGGCAAUUAAUAAGAAUCCAAACUAAAUAUUUGCAUCAAUCAAAUAUCUGCACAAAUAUACAGAAGAAAAUGAACCUAUAACUUCAUGGUUCUAUAUGGACAAAAAGAUCCACAACUAGACCUAAACAUCACCAAGGAUAAGAAAUAACAGAGCAUUUUUCUUCGCCUGAUGCAGGGUCAAGGCUAGUCAAGGUCAGCAGCUCCUCCCCACCUGCUACGACCGCUACAACCUUGGGCGAAAAUGUGGUCAGAGACGGCACAAGGGAAGUUGCUCCCAUCUCUACAUCCUUCCUCCUCUCACCCAGCCUUGGCUCUCCACCACCAGUCACAGGAGAGUUGGCCAGUUGGGGCAGAAAAUCUUGGCAUAAAGCUCUUGACCAUCCUCUUCCCUGUCGUUCCUCUACCUCCCUUCCUCUUCUCAACUAGCCAUGGCUCUUGGCAAGUUUCCUCGAGCUGCAAGCCAUGGAGGAGCACUCCACCAGCUGCAUUAGCUAAGCCUCUAGAUCUGGCCGCCAACAUCAUCGCUCCCACCUCCUACCCUACGAGCAACCAUCAUAUCAUUCCACCCCGAGAGAGAGAGUGAGUGAGAGAGAGAGAGAUGUACCUCAGUACCUGUAGGUCCAGACCCGCAGAUUAGACUGGAACCAGAACAACGAACAAAGAGGGCAGCCUCCAGCCGACCGGUACGCAAUGAAGUUGAGCCCGGGAUGGGCAGCGAAGGUCGGACCGCCGCUAUUCGUCCUUCUGCCGCCUCCGCGAACUCUUGGCUCUAGCCGCUGCCGCCGGGGAUGCUUAUCAUUCACACGCCCCUGCCCCUACAAGAGAGGAUGGAGGCGAGGGCAUCGAGGGGACGAUAGAGGCGACGAGCGGGAGAGGGAAGGCGGCAGAGUCGGAGAGGAGAGGAGGGAGUCGGAGGAGAGGAGGCUGAGGGGGCGCGAGCUCUAGACGAGAAGGGUUGGCGGCUAGGUUCUGACACUUUGCUGGGAAGGGAGAGA
rnacentral:lncRNA from 1 species